GAUGAACGCUGGCGGCGUGCCUAAUACAUGCAAGUCGAGCGAACGGACGAGAAGCUUGCUGCUCUGAUGUUAGCGGCGGACGGGUGAAUAACACGUGGAUAACCUACCUAUAAGACUGGGAUAACUUCGGGAAACCGGAGCUAAUACCGGAUAAUAUUUUGAACCGCAUGGUUCAGAAGUGAAGGACGGUCUUGCUGUCACUUGUAGAUGGAUCCGCGCUGCAUUAGCUAGUUGGUAAGGUAAAGGCUUACCAAGGCAACGAUGCGUAGCCGACCUGAGAGGGUGAUCGGCCACACUGGAACUGAGACACGGUCCAGACUCCUACGGGAGGCAGCAGUAGGGCAUCUUCCGCAAUGGGCGAAAGCCUGACGGAGCAACGCCGCGUGAGUGAUGAAGGUCUUCGGAUCGUAAAACUCUGUUCUUAGGGAAGAACAUAUGUGUAAGUAACUGUGCACAUCUUGACGGUACCUAAUCAGAAAGCCACGGCUAACUACGUG
rnacentral:rRNA from 1 species